rnacentral:rRNA from 1 species
UACGGGGGGGGCAAGCGUUGUUCGGAAUUACUGGGCGUAAAGGGCUCGUAGGCGGCCAACUAAGUCGGACGUGAAAUCCCCAGGCUCAACCUGGGAACUGCAUCCGAUACUGGAUGGCUUGAAUUCGGGAGAGGGAUGCAGAAUUCCAGGUGUAGCGGUGAAAUGCGUAGAUAUCUGGAGGAAUACCGGUGGCGAAGGCGCAUCCUGGACCGACAUUGACGCUGAGGAGCGAAAGCCAGGGGAGCAACGG